AAACAUGUUUGAAAGAAAAGUAUUUUUGAUUGAGCCUGCUCAAUGCUUAGUAAAUAGCUGCAGUAUUCUGACUGUACAAAGGUAGCAUAAUCAUUAGUCUUUUAAUUGGAGGCUGGUAUGAAAGGUUUGACGAAAAAUUUUUCUUUCUAUUGAAUUUUAAUUUUAAGUUAAAAAGCUUAAAUGUAUUAAUGGGACGAGAAGACCCUAUAGAAUUUAAAAUUAUAUAUUUUUUGUUGGGGUGACCUUUGUUAACACUUGUUGUUAUUACUUGUAAGUAAUUUUUGAUCCUUAUUUAGAUAAUAAGAAAAAAUUACCUUAGGGAUAACAGCAUAAUUUUUCUAAAAAGAUCUUAUUUUUAGAAAAGAUUAUGACCUCGAUGUUGAAUUAAUUUAUUGUAGGGGCAGGUUUUUACAAU
rnacentral:rRNA from 1 species